rnacentral:rRNA from 1 species
GUACACUCCUGCGGGAGGCAGCAGUGGGGAAUUUUGGACAAUGGGCGAAAGCCUGAUCCAGCCAUGCCGCGUGCAGGAUGAAGGCCUUCGGGUUGUAAACUGCUUUUGUACGGAACGAAACGGCCUUUUCUAAUAAAGAGGGCUAAUGACGGUACCGUAAGAAUAAGCACCGGCUAACUACGUGCCAGCAGCCGCGGUAAUACGUAGGGUGCAAGCGGUAAUCGGAAUUACUGGGCGUAAAGCGUGCGCAGGCGGUUAUGUAAGACAGUUGCGAAAUCCCCGGGCUCAACCUGGGAACUGCAUCUGUGACUGCAUAGCUAGAGUACGGUAGAGGGGGAUGGAAUUCCGCGUGUAGCAGUGAAAUGCGUAGAUAUGCGGAGGAACACCGAUGGCGAAGGCAAUCCCCUGGACCUGUACUGACGCUCAUGCACGAAAGCGUGGGGAGCAAACAGGAUUAGAAACCCUGGUAGUCC